UGGAAUAUUGCAACUAAAAGGCUGGCAAUAAAAAAAUGCUUAAAAAACAUCUUAAGUCAUGAAUUAAAAUUUCUAGCCACCGUUAGGAUUCAAGCUUGAGAAUUCUUAUUUCAGCAGUCAGAUAUUAAUUUAUACCAAUAUUGUAACUAAAAUGGCUGGUAAUGGAAACAGAAAUGAAUGUGCCUUCAGAUUUUGUGAUUUAAUUACAAAAAAACAACAGAAGGGCAUGAAUGUUGAACAACAAUAUCAAAAUAUAUUUCACCUGACAUGUGCCCACCACAUCCUCAGUGCCAGGUGACAAUUCAAGAUGUCCAAAAUUAGGUUGUCCUCAGCAUGUAAUCAAUCCUCACCCAUCAGUGGCCAUUGUAAGUGUUGUGUGCAGUGCAUGAUGUAUGAACUUAUACUUUCUCAAGAAGAUGACCAUUGAUUGGCUGGUGCCUGACCAUCUGGCUGAGCACUGCUUUAGGUUUAUCAAUAUCUAAUAGAGGGUUUAAGAUUUCUGCUGGUAAAGUUACUUAUGCACCAGUAUUUUGGAUGGGGACCUCUGAAGGUUAUGAAAAAACACAGAAUAGAUAAGAACGCUUAAGUGUUUCUCAAUUUCCUCAACAUUUGUGUGUCAUUCUGUAUUCCAAUCUUCCUGUUGAUUUCUCUGAGCUUUAUCCUAUUUAAUUAAGAUUAGAUUAAAUAUUAAAUUAGUAAAUUUAGAGUUGCAUUAAAAAAUCUAAUAAUAAGCACAUUUUUUAAAGUAUUUUUCAGUUUCCCUUCAAGACAAGAGUCAAGGAUAAAAGAUCAAGUGAUGGUUCCACCUUCAAAUAAGAACAUGGAUGACAUCUAAAGAGUACUUAACAUAUCACAGAGAUUAAGAUGAGGUUGUUCCCAUUUCAAGUCUUAGCAAGAACACUGAUGAACUCAACGUGUCACUGGGAUGUUUUGAUGAAGAUGAUGUUGUUCCCAUUCCAAGUCUUAGCAAGAAGAUUGAUGAAGACAUUACUGGGAUGCUGUGAUUAAGGUGGAGUUAGUUUUAAAUUAUUAGACCAUAUUUUAUGUCAUCUGGUUUGUGUCUAGUUUUGUUUGUGUUCAUCUUGUUCUGUUAAUGUUUGUGGACGUGUCCAAAGACUUGUUUUUAUCUUGUCUUUGUUUGUCAGACAGCUUAGUCUGUUAAUGUUUUGAUCUGACAAUACACUUCCGCUGUGACUUAUUCUAUGUUGACCUGACAAAACAUUUCCGCCAUGACUUGUUCUAUGUUGACCUGACAAUACAUUUCUGACGUGACUUAUUGAUUGUUGACCUGACAAUACACUUCCGCCAUGACUUGUUCUAUGUUGACCUGUCAAUACACUUCCGUC
rnacentral:sRNA from 1 species